GACGAACGCUGGCGGCGUGCUUAACACAUGCAAGUCGAACGGAAAGGCCCUGCUUGCAGGGUGCUCGAGUGGCGAACGGGUGAGUAACACGUGGGUGAUCUGCCCCUUACUUUGGGAUAAGCCUGGGAAACUGGGUCUAAUACUGGAUAGGACCAUGCUGUAGGUGGUGUGGUGGAAAGAUUAGUUUCGGUAAGGGAUGAGCUCGCGGCCUAUCAGCUUGUUGGUGGGGUAAUGGCCUACCAAGGCGUCGACGGGUAGCCGGCCUGAGAGGGUGGACGGCGACAUUGGGACUGAGAUACGGCCCAGACUCCUACGGGAGGCAGCAGUGGGGAAUAUUGCACAAUGGGCGCAAGCCUGAUGCAGCGACGCCGCGUGGGGGAUGACGGCCUUCGGGUUGUAAACUCCUUUCAGCCAUGACGAAGCCCUUGUGGUGACGGUAGUGGUAGAAGAAGCACCGGCUAACUACGUG
rnacentral:rRNA from 1 species